rnacentral:tRNA from 1 species
ACGGGUGUGGCUCAGUGGUAGAGCAUUUGCUUAGCAUGUGUGAGGCCCUGGAUUCCAUCUCCAGCAUCAAUA